GGCUCCAUGGAGAGGAAGGAGACUGCUCCUGAUGCUGCUCAGGAGGGUGAAAUGUGACGACUCCAGGCUGUAACCGGCUCCCUGCAGGACAAGCAGAGCCUGGGUCCCUGGGAGCCGAGGAGAAGCUACAGACCAGGAAGCAACACCUCCACUCCUGAUUCUGCCUCGUCACCUUGGGCCUGUGAGGCUGGACAGACCCCAGCCCAAGUGGCAGUGGAUUUGGAAAUGCGGAGCUUCCGGAAAACUUGGGCUGGCUCCUGGGAUGACUCAUGGAGUUACCCUAAGUGUUGCCCUUGGGAUGUCUGCAUUUCCCUUCACAUUGGGUCUGCCACACUCAUUCACCAAACCCUUCAUGGCCCAUUGUGACUGCGAAUCCAAGUCUGCAUCUCCAAUUGUCCUGCACAGGCUGACUGUGACAGCACGCUACUCUGAGGAUUGCUGCAGCCAGCGCUGUUUCAACAUCUUCGACAGCAUCUUGCCAGCUGAGAAUCUGAGCCCAACUCUACUGCCAGGAAGCUCUCAGUGACCAGUGGAGAAGCCCACCCUCCUUUGCUGGACAAGUCUCAGAGGACUCAGGGAACCAUCCAGGAUUUGCUUGCACAGCACGCACUUUGGGCACAUGUGCUCUGCAUGGGGAGCCAUCACAGGCAGGGAAAGCACUGUCACCAUCACAGAGGGUCCUGGUCAGGGCUACUCUGCCUCCCAUAGCUUUGACAGCUGGCUCUGUGACCCAGAAGGAGCCUCACUCCUGUUUGGGGGAAGGGGUCAAGUGUUAUGCCCCCUGUGCACAGUUGUUCUUGCAUCUACCCAGAAAGGGCAUCUUCAUCUUUCUGCUUUCGAAAUGACCUAUGACCUCAUCAGAUGAGGUUACUGCCCUCCCCACUCUCUCCAUGGGAAGGGUAAGGCCCAUGGAGCCCAUGGCUCACAGGGGGUCACUGGAAGGUUAGGGCUGCAAGGUGCCACACUCCAGUCCCUGCACUGUGUAGGUGCCCCCCUUUCUCUGCAGAGCAAAGGACAAGCUACCUUUGGAGACUGAGAGGAGUUGCACUCUGGCUUUGCCCCAGGACCAUGGAGCACCUCUGCUCCUGCUGUCCCCUCAUUUCUGCUGCAAAGAGUGUGAAAUGGAGCCAUCUUUUGGGGUGGGAGAGGUGCCAUCCCCCAAUGCCACACCGCGUGACCUCAUUACCAGCUGAAGCACUAGAAAGGGCCUGUUGUUCUGAGAAUCAGUCCUAGGCAGGCAGGUGCUCGCAAGAGGAUACCGCCCCUCGCCCUUCCCCGUGCACCUGUGGAGAACAGGCGGGGCCAGGGAGCUCCUCUGGGACCCCUCUUGCCUGUCCCAGCUCACUGAGCGCACACAGAGCCUUGCUGUGCAGGAGAGG
ensembl:lncRNA